UGGGGGAUAUUGCACAAUGGGCGAAAGCCUGAUGCAGCGACGCCGCGUGGGGGAUGAAGGCUUUCGGGUUGUAAACCUCUUUCGCUAUCGAACAAGGCCCGCUUAGGGUGGGUUGAGGGUAGGUGGAGAAGAAGCGCCGGCUAACUACGUGCCAGCAGCCGCGGUAAUACGUAGGGCGCGAGCGUUGUCCGGAAUUAUUGGGCGUAAAGGGCUUGUAGGCGGCUUGUUGCGCCUGCUGUGAAAACGCGGGGCUUAACUUCGCGCGUGCAGUGGGUACGGGAAGGCUUGAGUGUGGUAGGGGUGACUGGAAUUCCAGGUGUAGCGGUGGAAUGCGCAGAUAUCUGGAGGAACACCGAUGGCGAAGGCAGGUCACUGGGCCAUUACUGACGCUGAGGAGCGAAAGCAGGGGUAGCGAACAGG
rnacentral:rRNA from 1 species